rnacentral:rRNA from 1 species
AUUGAACGCUGGCGGCAUGCCUUACACAUGCAAGUCGAACGGCAGCACGGGGCAACCUGGUGGCGAGUGGCGAACGGGUGAGUAAUGCAUCGGAACGUACCUUUCAGUGGGGGAUAACGUAGCGAAAGUUACGCUAAUACCGCAUAUUCUGUGAGCAGGAAAGCAGGGGAUCGCAAGACCUUGCGCUGAUUGAGCGGCCGAUGUCAGAUUAGCUAGUUGGUGAGGUAAAGGCUCACCAAGGCGACGAUCUGUAGCGGGUCUGAGAGGAUGAUCGGCCACACUGGAACUGAGACACGGUCCAGACUCCGACGGGAGGCAGCAGUGGGGAAUUUUGGACAAUGGGGGCAACCCUGAUCCAGCCAUGCCGCGUGAGUGAAGAAGGCCUUCGGGUUGUAAAGCUCUUUCGGACGGGAAGAAAUCGCACGGGCUAAUACCCUGUGUGGAUGACGGUACCGGAAUAAGAAGCACCGGCUAACUACGUGCCAGCAGCCGCGGUAAGAC